GAAUAUUGGGCAAUGGAGGCAACUCUGACCCAGCCAUGCCGCGUGCAGGAAGACGGCCUUCUGGGUUGUAAACUGCUUUUAUCAGGGAAGAAAACGCUCCUGCGGGAGUAACUGACGGUACCUGAUGAAUAAGCACCGGCUAACUCCGUGCCAGCAGCCGCGGUAAUACGGAGGGUGCAAGCGUUGUCCGGAUUUAUUGGGUUUAAAGGGUGCGUAGGCGGCUAAUUAAGUCAGUGGUGAAAGCCCGCAGCUCAACUGUGGAACUGCCAUUGAUACUGGUUAGCUUGAGUUUGGUUGAGGUAAGCGGAAUGGAUAGUGUAGCGGUGAAAUGCAUAGAUAUUAUCCAGAACACCGAUAGCGAAGGCAGCUUACUGGGCCGAUACUGACGCUGAGGCACGAAAGCAUGGGUAGCGAACAGG
rnacentral:rRNA from 1 species